GUGCGAGCAGGGGAGGAGGGGAGGGCAGGAGGUCAAGGUUCUCCUCCGCUCGCCCCGAUGUGCUGUGUGACCUAGGCCAAGUGCCUGGACUUCUCUGAGCCCCACCUCCCCACCUGACAACCAGAGGGUGGACCCGGCGCCGGGCGCUCAAACCUGUGGCUCACGCCUGUAAUCCCAGCACUUUGGGAGGCCGAGGUGGGAGGAUGGCUUGAGCCCAGGAGUUUGAGACCAGCCUGGGCAACAUAGUGAGACCCCCUUCUGUACAACAAGUACAACAGCAAAAUCGCUUCUCGGCCUUUUGGCUAAGAUCAAGUGAAGAACAACAGCAAAACAGCUGAGCAUAGUGGCAAGCACUGUAGUCCCCUACUUGGGAGGCUGAGGUAGGAGGAUUACUUUGAGCCCAGGAGUUCAAGACCAGCCUGCGAAACAUAUCUAGUUUACGUCCUCUGAAAACCCCCUUCCCAAAAGAAAGGCAAAGCCAAGUCUCUGGGCUCCCUGAACAGUGCUGUCUCUUCCAAGCAGAGAGUGGGUGGGGCUCUGGAAAGCCCUGAACUCUAGGAGCAAGGAAACAGCCGUGGCCAGCAGGGUCCCCUUCGGCCAGCAGCCCAGCCCUGGAACUCCAGAGGGAGCUUGCAAGAGGAUCCCCACAGAUUUCGCUGCUCUGGGGGUAACAAUGUUGAUGCUGCUGCUGCUGCUGCUGCUGCUGAUGAUGAUGAUGAUGGCCACCAGAUAGGAAAUGCUAACUAUAGCCCAGGACCCAGCUCUAAGUGGCCAUGUGACCCAGUUCUCAGCAAUGACUCCUUGGGAGAAAUGUCAUUCCCAAAUAAAAAGAGAAGACCCCAAAAGAAAGCUCUUUGCCCCUUUGCUCUUUUGCCUUUUUCCUGCCUGAAUUACAAAUGCAAUGCCUAUCUUUGGAUUUCUUAAU